ACGUCCCCGUCAAUCUCUCUGUCCCCCUGAAUCACCGACCCAAGAUAUCUGACACUGUCCCUCUUGGCGAUGACCUGAGAUCCAAUAAUCACGUCCCUGCCUACUUCACUCGGCUCGGCACUAAACUUGCACUCCAGGUAUGAUGUCUUAGAUCUGCUUAUUUUGAAACCCUUAGACUCGAGAGUCUGUCUCCAUACCUCUAACCUCUCAAAAACACCGACCCUCGUCUCGUCUAUUAAGACGAUGUCAUAAGCAAAUAGCAUACAGCAAGGCAUAUCCCCUUGAAUAUGUCGGGUUAGAGCAUCCAUCACCCAGACAAACAAGAGAGGGCUAAGCGCCG
rnacentral:lncRNA from 1 species